CCUACGGGAGGCAGCAGUGGGGAAUAUUGGACAAUGGGCGAAAGCCUGAUCCAGCCAUGCCGCGUGUGUGAAGAAGGCCUUCGGGUUGUAAAGCACUUUCAGUGGGGAAGAAAGCCUUGGGGCUAAUACCCUCGAGGAAGGACAUCACCCACAGAAGAAGCACCGGCUAACUCCGUGCCAGCAGCCGCGGUAAUACGGAGGGUGCGAGCGUUAAUCGGAAUUACUGGGCGUAAAGCGCGCGUAGGCGGUCUGAUAAGCCGGUUGUGAAAGCCCCGGGCUCAACCUGGGAACGGCAUCCGGAACUGUCAGGCUAGAGUGCAGGAGAGGAAGGUAGAAUUCCCGGUGUAGCGGUGAAAUGCGUAGAGAUCGGGAGGAAUACCAGUGGCGAAGGCGGCCUUCUGGACUGACACUGACGCUGAGGUGCGAAAGCGUGGGUAGCAAACAGGAUUAGAUAUCCGUGUAGUC
rnacentral:rRNA from 1 species